rnacentral:lncRNA from 1 species
GAUGCAAAAACAAAACAAAAGACUAAUAAGCAGAAAAUUAGAGAGGAAAAAAAAAUAUAAGAAAAAUGAUACCUUACUCCUGAAUUGUUGUUUUGCUAGACCGAUUGUUUUAAGACCAGCUUUUUUCCUUCUCUUUUGCCAACUAAUCUCUCUCUUUUUUAUGUGCUUUCAAUUUGUGUUUUCAAUUGUGCUCCUCUUUGUCUUCUUGUGGCCGACUAUUUAUAGACUUUUUGGUAUAGAUUUCAAAAGACAAAAGAAUAAUUGUCAAUUGAUUACCAUUAAUCUAUUUUUGUUGGUUUCUUUUCUUUUAAUUGGCCACAAUUAUACCGAUUCUUAUUGCUAUUGAUUCAUUU